UACGUAGGGUGCGAGCGUUGUCCGGAAUUAUUGGGCGUAAAGAGCUCGUAGGCGGUCUGUUGCGUCGGCUGUGAAAACCCGGGGCUCAACCUCGGGUCUGCAGUCGAUACGAGCAAACUAGAGUGUUGCAGGGGAGACUGGAAUUCCUGGUGUAGCGGUGAAAUGCGCAGAUAUCAGGAGGAACACCGGUGGCGAAGGCGGGUCUCUGGGCAACAACUGACGCUGAGGAGCGAAAGCGUGGGGAGCGAACAGG
rnacentral:rRNA from 1 species